UACGGAGGGUGCAAGCGUUAAUCGGAAUUACUGGGCGUAAAGCGCACGCAGGUGGCUGAGAAAGUCGAUUGUGAAAGCCCUGGGCUUAACCUGGGAACUGCAUCCGAUACUGGAUGGCUUGAAUCCGGGAGAGGGAUGCAGAAUUCCAGGUGUAGCGGUGAAAUGCGUAGAUAUCUGGAGGAAUACCGGUGGCGAAGGCGGCAUCCUGGACCGGCAUUGACGCUGAUGAGCGAAAGCUAGGGGAGCAAACGGG
rnacentral:rRNA from 1 species